rnacentral:rRNA from 1 species
AACGAACGCUGGCGGCGUGUUUAAGACAUGCAAGUCGCACGGGACUAUUUGAGUAGCAAUACAAGAAUAGUUUAGUGGCGCACGGGUGAGUAACACGUGAAUUACAUGCCCUGCAGAGGGGGAUAGCCCAGGGAAACUUGGAUUAAUACCCCAUGGUAUCGCAAGAUUAAAGGUGGCCGCAAGGCUGUCGCUGCAGGAUUGGUUCGCGCCCUAUCAGCUUGUUGGUGAGGUAACGGCUCACCAAGGCUACGACGGGUACCUGGUCUGAGAGGACGAUCAGGCACACUGGAACUGAGACACGGUCCAGACACCUACGGGUGGCAGCAGUCGAGAAUAAUUCACAAUGGGGGCAACCCUGAUGGUGCAACGCCGCGUGGAGGAUGAAGGUCUUCGGAUUGUAAACUCCUGUCAUCCGGGAGUAAGACCUGGCGAUGAAUAGUCGACAGGGUUGAUAGUACCGGAAGAGGAAGGGACGGCUAACUUCGUGCCAGCCGCCGCGGUAACAC